UACGAAGGGGGCUAGCGUUGUUCGGAAUUACUGGGCGUAAAGCGCACGUAGGCGGAUUGUUAAGUCAGGGGUGAAAUCCUGGAGCUCAACUCCAGAACUGCCUUUGAUACUGGCGAUCUCGAGUCCGGGAGAGGUGAGUGGAACUGCGAGUGUAGAGGUGAAAUUCGUAGAUAUUCGGAAGAACACCAGUGGCGAAGGCGCUCACUGGCCCGGUACUGACGCUGAGGUGCGAAAGCGUGGGGAGCAAACAGGGAUUAAGAAACCCCGG
rnacentral:rRNA from 1 species